rnacentral:rRNA from 1 species
UACGAAGGGGGCUAGCGUUGCUCGGAAUCACUGGGCGUAAAGGGUGCGUAGGUGGCGAGGUAAGUCGGAUGUGAAAGCUCGGAGCUCAACUCCGAAAUGGUAUUGGAAACUACCUUGCUCGAGGGUUGGAGGGGGGACUGGAAUUCUCGGUGUAGCAGUGAAAUGCGUAGAUAUCGAGAGGAACACCAGUGGCGAAGGCGAGUCCCUGGACAACUCCUGACACUGAGGCACGAAAGCUAGGGGAGCAAACAGG